UACGUAGGUGGCAAGCGUUAUCCGGAAUUAUUGGGCGUAAAGCGCGCGCAGGCGGUUUCUUAAGUCUGAUGUGAAAGCCCACGGCUCAACCGUGGAGGGUCAUUGGAAACUGGGGAACUUGGGUGCAGAAGAGAAAAGCGGAAUUCCACGUGUAGCGGUGAAAUGCGUAGAGAUGUGGAGGAACACCAGUGGCGAAGGCGGCUUUUUGGUCUGUAACUGACGCUGAGGCGCGAAAGCGUGGGGAGCAAACAGG
rnacentral:rRNA from 1 species